GCCCCCUUAGCUCAGUCGGCAGAGCGUUUCCAUGGUAAGAAAAGGUCGACGGUUCGAUUCCGUCAGGGGGCU
rnacentral:tRNA from 1 species